GCUGGGUCUGUCACAAUGGAUUCAGCAAUGCUGAUGCACAGGUGGUCUGUCGUCAGCUUGGAUAUGGGACCUCAGGAGCCAUUGCCAGAACUAGCUCAUACUAUGGUUGGGGUAAUGGAGUAACAUGGAUUGAUUAUGUUGGUUGUUCUGGAUCCGAGACUAACAUAUCAAGCUGCAGUUACUCAAGUUCUCUAACUAGCUCUUGUACUAUAACCAGAAUUGCUGGUGUCGUGUGUCAAACUGGUGGGUCUUGUACAAAUUAUGAUGUUCGUUUAAUUCCGACUUCAUCAUCUUACCGAUCAUAUGGUCGCGUUGAGGUCUGUCUUAACAAUCAGUGGGGGACUGUUUGUGAUGACGGGUGGAGUACUUAUGACGCAAACACUUUUUGCAGACAACUGGGCUAU